rnacentral:lncRNA from 1 species
UAAGUCCCCAAGCGCCUGCUCGGACUGCUACAGUCUGGGCUCAUAUUCCACUCGCCUUUUCCACGUACGCAGGUCUACCUGAAGGCACAGUCCUCCCGAGGUCGGGUCAACCUCCGCCGCGUGCCGCCACACGCCUGCGCCUGCGCACUCGGAACACCGCGCACUCCCGGCGCCAGGACAGUUCCAGGUGGACUGCAUUUCCCAGAAGCCACCGGGCUCGCAUCAGCCUCGGUCCCUGCGUCCUCUUCCGGUGGCCGAGCAGCUGUGGUCCCUACGUGUGCUGCCUGUCUCGGAAAAAAAAAGUAUCCUGAGAGAGGAAAGAAUUUUUGUUACACAACUAAAAGUUUAAGUUCAGGUUUUUCUGUUUCCAAGCCAGGUGUAAUUCCUGAAUUGGAACAAGGAGUCCAGGCCUAGUAGGUGGAGAGUGUAGUGACAAGAGGAUUUGUCCAGCUCUGGCUUCUCUGGACUCAGCUUCUGAGGAUGAUUGGCAGUUCUAAAACCAUGGGCCGGGUAAGUGGGUUUCUCUCCUUCCUGAAAUAUUACAAUUUUUAAUUCAGAUAAUAUUUUCAUUCUUUAUCCCAAAACCUCCUUCCUAGGAAAGCUGUAUCUCAGCCUGUUUCACAGUUGCUGCCUUUACAGAGAAGGAUGGUGUCCUCCCUAUUUGCUCCCUUUUUUCAAACUGAUUUUUCAGUUUUUCAUCAAAUGAGUUAUUCCUCUUCUAUAUGUUCAGUCUUCUCUCGGGAGCAGUGUUGGAGCAGUAAAGGGGUGAAGUACCUUGAAGGAAGUAUUUUAGCUUCCCUUGUUAGGUUUGUAGUUUCAUUGUAUAGAAAUGGUGGCCCUCUUUGACCAGAAGAGGGAGAACUUUCUCCAUAGUUUUCCAGGUAGAUAAGGGAGAAUUUGGUUUCGAAUGGUCUCAGUCUCAGUGUUAGAUGAGAUCUCAGCUUUGAAAAGCUUUUAGGUUUGGGUUGAAAUGGGAUUGGUACCUGCCUACAGAGAGGAGGGGUUCUGGCUGAGGAAUCACUGAGAAGUGAAUAGGGUUCUGAGGCCCAUUUUGUAGGGGAAGAGAGAUUGCUUGGCUUGAGUCAUUCAAUGUUGUUCUGGAUCAUUCUACAUUAGUGUGUUCUAACUCAAGAACCGGAAGUUCAGUAAGGGAUUGUAGAAAGGGAAGAUGAGAACCACAUCUGGUGGAUAAUACUGAACUGUGGGGAAGAGGUUAAAGAAAAUUUUGAAAAUUAAAAUUAAAGAAAUUUUUUGUGCUCCAACAGGAUUAUUCAAGAUUGGGUAGGGAAUCUACUUCAGAUAUGCUAAUUUAUUUAUUAUUUAUUCUCAUCUACCCAUGUCAUGAUCUUUAACUUCAGCCUACUUGUUUUUAUAUAUCACCCCCUACUGCAACUCAAUAUUCCAUCUUGAAAUUUUUUUUCUACUUUUACAAAUAAUACAUGAAUUUAUCAUUUCAGGUGCCACUGACAUUCAGUGAUGUUGCCAUAGACUUCUCUCAGGAGGAGUGGGAAUGCCUAAACUCAGAUCAGAGGAACUUGUACAGAGAUGUGAUGUUGGAGAAUUAUACUAACUUGAUAUCACUGGGUAAGGACAUCUGCCUGAAGUAAUGUAGAAUCUGCUAUCUGGAAUAUCCACUUUUUCUACUGUAUAUUUUAUGCUCUGUGCUAAGAAACUAGCAAAAUUUCUGCUCCAUAUUCUCAAAGGACUAUUUGGGGCUUUGUUAGAUUGAAAUAAGCACCUUCAUUCAGCACCUAAAUCUUUUUUAAAAUUUUAUUUAUUUAUUUAUGGCUACAUUGCGUCUUCGUUGCUGCACGCGGGCUUUUUCUAGUUGUGGCGAGCGGGGGCUACUCUUCGUUGCAGUACGCAGGCUUCUCAUUGCGGUGGCUUCUCUUGUGGAGCAUGAGCUCUAGGUGCACAGGCUUCAGUAGUUGUGGCACGUGGGCUCAGUAGUUGUGGCUCACGGGCUCUAGAGUGCAGGCUCAGUAGUUGUGACGCAUGGGCUUACUUGCUCCGCAGCAUGACAGCACCUAAAUCUUCUCUGUCCUUCAUUUACCUUCCUACCUCCUUCUGAUCCAUCCUGCAGUUGCUUUUUCUAAAUGACCAAAGGAUUGAAUUCUGGGAAUUUUCUGCAUAACUACUGGCAAAGAAAACAAAUGUCAAAUUAUGUGUAUUUUCAUAAUGUCAAUAAAUAUUCUAUUUUAAUUGCCAAUCCACCUACAUGGAGAACAGGUAACAUAGAGUCCUGGUUUUCUCUUUAUUACAGAUGAGACUUUGUAAUUUUUACAGUGGUAGAAUGAGUCAAGAUCAUUAUCUUUUUGAGUAUUUUCUGUUAUAGCAGUGAAAAUGUUGGCUUUCAGUAAUUUGAUAGAUUCUACUCAGAAGUGUCUUUGUUCAGGUUUUGGACAAUACUUGACCGUUCUCUCCUCUCCUCUGGGAUUCCAGUUAUACCUACGUUAGAUCUUUUGAGAACUUCUCUCUCUAGAAAUUCACUUUGAUUGUCUUUUAUAACUUCCAGUUACCUGUUGCAAUUCUUUUAUUUACUGUC